rnacentral:tRNA from 1 species
GCUUGGGUGGCUCAGUGGUUGAGCAUCUGCCUUUGGCUCAGAGUGUGAUUCCGGAAUCUGGGAUCGAGUCCCACAUCAGGCU